GUGAGGAAUAUUGGUCAAUGGACGAGAGUCUGAACCAGCCAAGUCGCGUGAAGGAAGACGGUUCUAUGAAUUGUAAACUUCUUUUGUGCAGGAAUAAAGUGGAUUACGUGUAACCUUUUGUAUGUACUGUACGAAUAAGGAUCGGCUAACUCCGUGCCAGCAGCCGCGGUAAUACGGAGGAUCCGAGCGUUAUCCUGAUUUAUUGGGUUUAAAGGGUGCGUAGGUGGAUUGAUAAGUCAGCGGUGAAAGUUUGCAGCUUAACUGUAAAAUUGCCGUUGAAACUGUCGGUCUUGAGUGCAAAUGAGGUAGGCGGAAUGUGUUGUGUAGCGGUGAAAUGCUUAGAUAUAACACAGAACUCCGAUUGCGAAGGCAGCUUACUGGGAUGCAACUGACACUGAUGCACGAAAGCGUGGGUAUCAAACAGGAUUAGAAACCCGAGUAGUCC
rnacentral:rRNA from 1 species